rnacentral:rRNA from 1 species
GACGAACGCUGGCGGCGUGCCUAAUACAUGCAAGUAGAACGCACAGUUUAUACCGUAGCUUGCUACACCAUAGACUGCGAGUUGCGAACGGGUGAGUAACGCGUCGGUAACCUGCCUGGUAGCUGGGGAUAACUAUUGGAAACGCUAGCUAAUACCGCAUAAUAUUGAUUAUUGCAUGAUAAUUGAUUGAAAGAUGCUAUUGCAUCACUACCUGAUGGCCCUGCGUUGUAUUAGCUAGUAGGUGAGGUAACGGCUCACCUAGGCGACGAUACAUAGCCGAACGGAGAGGGUGAGCGGCCACACUGGGACUGAGACACGGCCCAGACUGCUACGGGAGGAAGCAGUAGGGAAUCGUCGGCAAUGGACGAAAGUCUGACCGAGAAACGCCGAGUGAGUGAAGAAGGUUUUCGGAUCGUAAAGCUCUGUUGUAAGAGAAGAACGGGUGUGAGAGUGGAAAGUUCACACUGUGACGGUAUCUGACCAGAAAGGGACGGCUAACUACGUG